rnacentral:miRNA from 1 species
UCCGGUCCGGGGUCCGAGCC